rnacentral:rRNA from 1 species
CAGUCGCCGCGGUAAUACGUAGGUGGCAAGCGUUGUUCGGAAUUAUUGGGCGUAAAGGGCUCGCAGGCGGUUUCUUAAGUCUGAUGUGAAAGCCCCCGGCUCAACCGGGGAGGGUCAUUGGAAACUGGGAAACUUGAGUGCAGAAGAGGAAAGUGGAAUUCCACGUGUAGCGGUGAAAUGCGUAGAGAUGUGGAGGAACACCAGUGGCGAAGGCGACUCUCUGGUCUGUAACUGACGCUGAGGAGCGAAAGCGUGGGGAGCGAACAGGAUUAGAUACCCCUGUAGUCCCUGUCUCUUAUAC